GACGAACGCUGGCGGCGUGCUUAACACAUGCAAGUCGAACGGCGAAGCGCCUUCCUUUUUGGUGGGUGUGGAUGAGUGGCGAACGGGUGAGUAACACGUGAGUAACCUGCCCCCUCCUGCUGGAUAACCGCAUGAAAGUGUGGCUAAUACGGGAUAUUCUGUGUCUGUCGCAUGAUGGGUCUGGGAAAGCUAUUGUUUCGGUGGGGGAUGGGCUCGCGGCCUAUCAGGUUGUUGGUGGGGUGAUGGCCUACCAAGGCGAUGACGAGUAGCCGGCCUGAGAGGGUGGACGGUACUAGUAGGGCUGCGAGGCGGACCAGACUCCGACGGGAGGCAGCGGUGAAGAUUAGUGCACAGGGGGAGGAAGGCUGAUGCAGCGACGCGGCGUGAAGGAUGGAGGCCUUCGGGUUGUGAACCUCUUUCGCGAGUGAAGCGGAGCUGCCUCGUAUGUGGGUGGGUUGACGGUAGCUAGAGAAGAAGCGCCGGCUAACUACGUG
rnacentral:rRNA from 1 species